rnacentral:lncRNA from 1 species
AGUGAACCUGCUGAGAGAUGAAGGAGGGGAUGAGAGGCCAGAACAUCAGUCUCAUCUUCAUGGAGGACAUUGAUGCCAGAUGCAGUGAACCUGCUGAGAGAUGAAGGAGGGGAUGAGAGGCCAGAACAUCAACCUCAUCUUCAUGGAGGACAUUGAUGCCAGAUGCAGUGAACCUGCUGAGAGAUGAAGGAGGGGAUGAGAGGUCAGAACAUCAACCUCAUCUUCAUGGAGGACAUUGAUGCCAGAUGCAGUGAACCUGCUGAGAGGAGAAGGAGGGGAUGAGAGGCCAGAACAUCAGUCUCAUCUUCAUGGAGGACAUUGAUGCCAGAUGCAGUGAACCUGCUGAGAGAUGAAGGAGGGGAUGAGAGGCCAGAACAUCAACCUCAUCUUCAUGGAGAACAUUGAUGCCAGAUGCAGUGAACCUGCUGAGAGAUGAAGGAGGGGAUGAGAGGCCAGAACAUCAACCUCAUCUUCAUGGAGAACAUUGAUGCCAGAUGCAGUGAACCUGCUGAGAGAUGAAGGAGGGGAUGAGAGGCCAGAACAUCAGUCCCUUCUUCAUGGAGAACAUUGAUUCCAGAUGCAGCUACAUGUGCAAAGAAACUUUCCUGAAUUGAAUCAUGGGACCAGAUUGGUUGUUCCAGGUUUCCAUGCUGAUGGACAUGACUUGCCAUGUCAGAUGAAAUUCAACACCCGAUAUGUGGAAGGUGCUGGACUGGCAGAUGGGGAGCAGAUGGAGAGGCUGUGGUCGUAUCUGAGGCGCUUUGGGAAGGUCACCAAAGAAAUGAGGCCGUCCCAUCUUAUUGACCUCCUGACUGAUGCUCUUCUCCACCAUCGGAAAACACCAGAGGCUACUGGACUCUCUGCCAUAGAGGGUUUCCCCAGCAACAGAAGUUGCAACAGAGGCAGAAAGGGAAAUGGAAAAAAUUGCACAGUCUCUUCCAGGGUAGAGCAGGAAAGUGGAGAUGGAACAGCUGUUUUUCAGCUUGUGCAGUUCGAUAGAAAACUGAAGACGAUGGAGAGGAAGAACAGCAUCCUCCAUCGAUGGUCCCCCACCAGCAGUCUCUUCCAGACUGCACUCCACAGACUGCAGAGUAACAGAUUGAUGGUCUCCCACCAGUAGUCUCUUACAGACUGCACUCCACAGACUGCAGG